rnacentral:tRNA from 1 species
GCAUUGGUGGUUCAGUGGUAGAAUUCUUGGGUUCCAUGUGGGAGACCCAGGUUUGAUUCCCAGCCAAUGCA